AAACAACAGGGUAUUGCUCAGUAACGGCGAGUGAAGCGGCAAAAGCUCAAAUUUUGAAACCCUCGGGAUUGUAAUUUUGAAGAUUUGGCAUUGGAGAAAGCUAACCCAAGUUGCUUGGAAUAGUACGUCAUAGAGGGUGACAACCCCGUCUGGCUAACCGUUCUCCAUGUAUUGCCUUAUCAAAGAGUCGAGUUGUUUGGGAAUGCAGCUCAAAGUGGGUGGUAAACUCCAUCUAAAGCUAAAUACUGGUGAGAGACCGAUAGCGAACAAGUACUGUGAAGGAAAGGUGAAAAGAACUUUGAAAAGAGAGUGAAAUAGUAUGUGAAAUUGUUGAUAGGGAAGGAAAUGAGUGGAGAGUGGCCGAGGUUUCAGCCGCCCCUCGUGGGCGGUGUACUGCCGACGCCGAGUCAUCGAUAGCGAGACGAGGGUUACAAAUGGAAGCGCCUUCGGGCGUUCUCCCCUAACCUCCAC
rnacentral:rRNA from 1 species